UAGGGAAUCUUCCGCAAUGGGCGAAAGCCUGACGGAGCAACGCCGCGUGAGUGAUGAAGGUCUUCGGAUCGUAAAACUCUGUUAUUAGGGAAGAACAAAUGUGUAAGUAACUAUGCACGUCUUGACGGUACCUAAUCAGAAAGCCACGGCUAACUACGUGCCAGCAGCCGCGGUAAUACGUAGGUGGCAAGCGUUAUCCGGAAUUAUUGGGCGUAAAGCGCGCGUAGGCGGUUUUUUAAGUCUGAUGUGAAAGCCCACGGCUCAACCGUGGAGGGUCAUUGGAAACUGGAAAACUUGAGUGCAGAAGAGGAAAGUGGAAUUCCAUGUGUAGCGGUGAAAUGCGCAGAGAUAUGGAGGAACACAAGUGGCGAAGGCGACUUUCUGGUCUGUAACUGACGCUGAUGUGCGAAAGCGUGGGGAUCAAACA
rnacentral:rRNA from 1 species